GUUGUUGGGUAGGGGAGCGUUCUGUAAGCCUGCGAAGGUGGCCUGUGAGGGUUGCUGGAGGUAUCAGAAGUGCGAAUGCUGACAUAAGUAACGAUAAAGCGGGUGAAAAGCCCGCUCGCCGGAAGACCAAGGGUUCCUGUCCAACGUUAAUCGGGGCAGGGUGAGUCGACCCCUAAGGCGAGGCCGAAAGGCGUAGUCGAUGGGAAACGGGUUAAUAUUCCCGUACUUGGUGUUACUGCGAAGGGGGGACGGAGAAGGCUAUGUUGGCCGGGCGACGGUUGUCCCGGUUUAAGCGUGUAGGUGUGUGUUCCAGGUAAAUCCGGUUCACUUUAACACUGAGGCGUGACGACGAGGCACUACGGUGCUGAAGCAACAAAUGCCCUGCUUCCAGGAAAAGCCUCUAAGCAUCAGGUAACAUCAAAUCGUACCCCAAACCGACACAGGUGGUCAGGUAGAGAAUACCAAGGCGCUUGAGAGAACUCGGGUGAAGGAACUAGGCAAAAUGGUGCCGUAACUUCGGGAGAAGGCACGCUGACACGUAGGUGAAGUGAUUUACUCAUGGAGCUGAAGUCAGUCGAAGAUACCAGCUGGCUGCAACUGUUUAUUAAAAACACAGCACUGUGCAAACACGAAAGUGGACGUAUACGGUGUGACGCCUGCCCGGUGCCGGAAGGUUAAUUGAUGGGGUCAGCGCAAGCGAAGCUCCUGAUCGAAGCCCCGGUAAACGGCGGCCGUAACUAUAACGGUCCUAAGGUAGCGAAAUUCCUUGUCGGGUAAGUUCCGACCUGCACGAAUGGCGUAAUGAUGGCCAGGCUGUCUCCACCCGAGACUCAGUGAAAUUGAACUCGCUGUGAAGAUGCAGUGUACCCGCGGCAAGACGGAAAGACCCCGUGAACCUUUACUAUAGCUUGACACUGAACAUUGAGCCUUGAUGUGUAGGAUAGGUGGGAGGCUUUGAAGUGUGGACGCCAGUCUGCAUGGAGCCGACCUUGAAAUACCACCCUUUAAUGUUUGAUGUUCUAACGUGGACCCGUAAUCCGGGUUGCGGACAGUGUCUGGUGGGUAGUUUGACUGGGGCGGUCUCCUCCUAAAGAGUAACGGAGGAGCACGAAGGUUGGCUAAUCCUGGUCGGACAUCAGGAGGUUAGUGCAAUGGCAUAAGCCAGCUUGACUGCGAGCGUGACGGCGCGAGCAGGUGCGAAAGCAGGUCAUAGUGAUCCGGUGGUUCUGAAUGGAAGGGCCAUCGCUCAACGGAUAAAAGGUACUCCGGGGAUAACAGGCUGAUACCGCCCAAGAGUUCAUAUCGACGGCGGUGUUUGGCACCUCGAUGUCGGCUCAUCACAUCCUGGGGCUGAAGUAGGUCCCAAGGGUAUGGCUGUUCGCCAUUUAAAGUGGUACGCGAGCUGGGUUUAGAACGUCGUGAGACAGUUCGGUCCCUAUCUGCCGUGGGCGCUGGAGAACUGAGGGGGGCUGCUCCUAGUACGAGAGGACCGGAGUGGACGCAUCACUGGUGUUCGGGUUGUCAUGCCAAUGGCACUGCCCGGUAGCUAAAUGCGGAAGAGAUAAGUGCUGAAAGCAUCUAAGCACGAAACUUGCCCCGAGAUGAGUUCUCCCUGAGACUUAGAGUCUCCUGAAGGAACGUUGAAGACGACGACGUUGAUAGGCCGGGUGUGUAAGCGCAGCGAUGCGUUGAGCUAACCGGUACUAAUGAACCGUGAGGCUUAACCUUAC
rnacentral:rRNA from 4 species